rnacentral:rRNA from 1 species
AGAGUUUGAUCCUGGCUCAGAACGAACGCUGGCGGCAGGCUUAACACAUGCAAGUCGAACGCCCCGCAAGGGGAGUGGCAGACGGGUGAGUAACGCGUGGGAAUCUACCUAGUUCUACGGAACAACAGUUGGAAACGACUGCUAAUACCGUAUACGCCCUACGGGGGAAAGAUUUAUCGGAAUUAGAUGAGCCCGCGUAAGAUUAGCUAGUUGGUGGGGUAAUGGCCUACCAAGGCGACGAUCUUUAGCUGGUCUGAGAGGAUGAUCAGCCACACUGGGACUGAGACACGGCCCAGACUCCUACGGGAGGCAGCAGUGGGGAAUAUUGGACAAUGGGCGCAAGCCUGAUCCAGCCAUGCCGCGUGAGUGAUGAAGGCCUUAGGGUUGUAAAGCUCUUUCAGUAGGGAAGAUAAUGACGGUACCUACAGAAGAAGCCCCGGCUAACUUCGUG